CUCCGGGGAUAACAGGCUGAUACCGCCCAAGAGUUCAUAUCGACGGCGGUGUUUGGCACCUCGAUGUCGGCUCAUCACAUCCUGGGGCUGAAGUAGGUCCCAAGGGUAUGGCUGUUCGCCAUUUAAAGUGGUACGCGAGCUGGGUUUAGAACGUCGUGAGACAGUUCGGUCCCUAUCUGCCGUGGGCGCUGGAGAACUGAGGGGGGCUGCUCCUAGUACGAGAGGACCGGAGUGGACGCAUCACUGGUGUUCGGGUUGUCAUGCCAAUGGCACUGCCCGGUAGCUAAAUGCGGAAGAGAUAAGUGCUGAAAGCAUCUAAGCACGAAACUUGCCCCGAGAUGAGUUCUCCCUGACCCUUUAAGGGUCCUGAAGGAACGUUGAAGACGACGACGUUGAUAGGCCGGGUGUGUAAGCGCAGCGAUGCGUUGAGCUAACCGGUACUAAUGAACCGUGAGGCUUAACCUU
rnacentral:ncRNA from 1 species